CCUACGGGUGGCAGCAGUGAGGAAUAUUGGUCAAUGGCCGGAAGGCUGAACCAGCCAAGCCGCGUGAAGGACGAAGGUGCCAAGCAUUGUAAACUUCUUUUGUCAAGGGACAAAAUCAGGCUCGAGAGCCUGACCGAGGGUACUUGAAGAAAAAGCAUCGGCUAACUCCGUGCCAGCAGCCGCGGUAAUACGGAGGAUGUGAGCGUUAUCCGGAUUUAUUGGGUUUAAAGGGUGCGUAGGCGGACUGUUAAGUCAGCGGUAAAAGUCUGGGGCUCAACCCAAGCGGGCCAUUGAAACUGGCUGUCUUGAGAAGACGUGAGGUAUGCGGAAUGCGCGGUGUAGCGGUGAAAUGCUUAGAUAUUGCGCAGAACUCCGAUUGCGAAGGCAGCAUACCGGCGGCGAUCUGACGCUGAGGCACGAAAGCGUGGGUAUCGAACAGGAUUAGAUACCCGGGUAGUC
rnacentral:rRNA from 1 species